UCUCUGGUAGUUUAAGAAGAACAUGAGAUUGCAAAUCUCGGGGUGAAGCAAUUCCCAGAGAU
rnacentral:tRNA from 1 species